GGUUAAGCGACUAAGCGUACACGGUGGAUGCCCUGGCAGUCAGAGGCGAUGAAGGACGUGCUAAUCUGCGAUAAGCGCCGGUAAGGUGAUAUGAACCGUUAUAACCGGCGAUUUCCGAAUGGGGAAACCCAGUGUGAUUCGUCACACUAUCAUUAACUGAAUCCAUAGGUUAAUGAGGCGAACCGGGGGAACUGAAACAUCUAAGUACCCCGAGGAAAAGAAAUCAACCGAGAUUCCCCCAGUAGCGGCGAGCGAACGGGGAGGAGCCCAGAGCCUGAAUCAGCAUGUGUGUUAGUGGAAGCGUCUGGAAAGGCGCGCGAUACAGGGUGACAGCCCCGUACACAAAAGCGCAUGUGCUGUGAGCUCGAUGAGUAGGGCGGGACACGUGGUAUCCUGUCUGAAUAUGGGGGGACCAUCCUCCAAGGCUAAAUACUCCUGACUGACCGAUAGUGAACCAGUACCGUGAGGGAAAGGCGAAAAGAACCCCGGCGAGGGGAGUGAAAAAGAACCUGAAACCGUGUACGUACAAGCAGUGGGAGCACCCUUUGGGGUGUGACUGCGUACCUUUUGUAUAAUGGGUCAGCGACUUAUAUUCUGUAGCAAGGUUAACCGUAUAGGGGAGCCGGAGGGAAACCGAGUCUUAAUUGGGCGUUAAGUUGCAGGGUAUAGACCCGAAACCCGGUGAUCUAGCCAUGGGCAGGUUGAAGGUUGGGUAACACUAACUGGAGGACCGAACCGACUAAUGUUGAAAAAUUAGCGGAUGACCUGUGGCUGGGGGUGAAAGGCCAAUCAAACCGGGAGAUAGCUGGUUCUCCCCGAAAGCUAUUUAGGUAGCGCCUCGUGAAUUCAUCUCCGGGGGUAGAGCACUGUUUCGGCUAGGGGGCCAUCCCGGCUUACCAACCCGAUGCAAACUGCGAAUACCGGAGAAUGUUAUCACGGGAGACACACGGCGGGUGCUAACGUCCGUCGUGAAGAGGGAAACAACCCAGACCGCCAGCUAAGGUCCCAAAGUCAUGGUUAAGUGGGAAACGAUGUGGGAAGGCCCAGACAGCCAGGAUGUUGGCUUAGAAGCAGCCAUCAUUUAAAGAAAGCGUAAUAGCUCACUGGUCGAGUCGGCCUGCGCGGAAGAUGUAACGGGGCUAAACCAUGCACCGAAGCUGCGGCAGCGACACUGUGUGUUGUUGGGUAGGGGAGCGUUCUGUAAGCCUGUGAAGGUGUGUCGUGAGGCAUGCUGGAGGUAUCAGAAGUGCGAAUGCUGACAUAAGUAACGAUAAAGCGGGUGAAAAGCCCGCUCGCCGGAAGACCAAGGGUUCCUGUCCAACGUUAAUCGGGGCAGGGUGAGUCGACCCCUAAGGCGAGGCCGAAAGGCGUAGUCGAUGGGAAACGGGUUAAUAUUCCCGUACUUGGUGUUACUGCGAAGGGGGGACGGAGAAGGCUAUGUUGGCCGGGCGACGGUUGUCCCGGUUUAAGCGUGUAGGCUGGUUUUCCAGGCAAAUCCGGAAAAUCAAGGCUGAGGCGUGACGACGAGGCACUACGGUGCUGAAGCAACAAAUGCCCUGCUUCCAGGAAAAGCCUCUAAGCAUCAGGUAACACGAAAUCGUACCCCAAACCGACACAGGUGGUCAGGUAGAGAAUACCAAGGCGCUUGAGAGAACUCGGGUGAAGGAACUAGGCAAAAUGGUGCCGUAACUUCGGGAGAAGGCACGCUGACAUGUAGGUGAAGUGAUUUACUCAUGGAGCUGAAGUCAGUCGAAGAUACCAGCUGGCUGCAACUGUUUAUUAAAAACACAGCACUGUGCAAACACGAAAGUGGACGUAUACGGUGUGACGCCUGCCCGGUGCCGGAAGGUUAAUUGAUGGGGUCAGCGCAAGCGAAGCUCCUGAUCGAAGCCCCGGUAAACGGCGGCCGUAACUAUAACGGUCCUAAGGUAGCGAAAUUCCUUGUCGGGUAAGUUCCGACCUGCACGAAUGGCGUAAUGAUGGCCAGGCUGUCUCCACCCGAGACUCAGUGAAAUUGAACUCGCUGUGAAGAUGCAGUGUACCCGCGGCAAGACGGAAAGACCCCGUGAACCUUUACUAUAGCUUGACACUGAACAUUGAGCCUUGAUGUGUAGGAUAGGUGGGAGGCUUUGAAGUGUGGACGCCAGUCUGCAUGGAGCCGACCUUGAAAUACCACCCUUUAAUGUUUGAUGUUCUAACGUGGACCCGUAAUCCGGGUUGCGGACAGUGUCUGGUGGGUAGUUUGACUGGGGCGGUCUCCUCCUAAAGAGUAACGGAGGAGCACGAAGGUUGGCUAAUCCUGGUCGGACAUCAGGAGGUUAGUGCAAUGGCAUAAGCCAGCUUGACUGCGAGCGUGACGGCGCGAGCAGGUGCGAAAGCAGGUCAUAGUGAUCCGGUGGUUCUGAAUGGAAGGGCCAUCGCUCAACGGAUAAAAGGUACUCCGGGGAUAACAGGCUGAUACCGCCCAAGAGUUCAUAUCGACGGCGGUGUUUGGCACCUCGAUGUCGGCUCAUCACAUCCUGGGGCUGAAGUAGGUCCCAAGGGUAUGGCUGUUCGCCAUUUAAAGUGGUACGCGAGCUGGGUUUAGAACGUCGUGAGACAGUUCGGUCCCUAUCUGCCGUGGGCGCUGGAGAACUGAGGGGGGCUGCUCCUAGUACGAGAGGACCGGAGUGGACGCAUCACUGGUGUUCGGGUUGUCAUGCCAAUGGCACUGCCCGGUAGCUAAAUGCGGAAGAGAUAAGUGCUGAAAGCAUCUAAGCACGAAACUUGCCCCGAGAUGAGUUCUCCCUGAGACUUAAAGUCUCCUGAAGGAACGUUGAAGACGACGACGUUGAUAGGCCGGGUGUGUAAGCGCAGCGAUGCGUUGAGCUAACCGGUACUAAUGAACCGUGAGGCUUAACCUU
rnacentral:rRNA from 1 species